AUGCUCACUUCAGCAUCACAUAUACUAAAAUUAGAACAAUACAGAGAUUAGCAUGGUCCCUGCGCAAGGAUGGCAUGCAAAUUUGUGAAGCAUUCCAGAUUUAA